GGGCUGUGUCCACCAUGGUCUGGACCCCUCUCCUCCUCCUGCUCCUCUCCCACUGCACAGGUUCCCUCUCCCAGCCUGUGGUGACCCAGCCACCCUCCCUCUCUGCAUCUCUGGGAACAACAGCCAGACUCACCUGCACACUGAGCAGUGGUGUCAAUGUUGGUGGCAAAAACAUAUACUGGAUCCAGCAGAAGCCAGAAAGUGCUCCCCAGCUUUUUCUCUACUACUACUCAGACUCAGAUAAGAAGCUGGGACCUGGGGUCCCCAGUCGAGUCUCUGGAUCCAAAGACACCUCAAGAAAUGCAGCAUAUUUGCACAUCUCUGGGCUCCAGCCUGGGGAUGAGGCUGACUAUUACUGUGCCAUCUGGCAGAGCAGUGCUGCUCACAGUGACACAGACAGAUGGGGAAGUGGGACAAAAACCUGGCCUUCUCUGUGUGUGUGACAAUGACUUCUUUCUCUUAUUAAAAUAACUCAUAUUCCCUGAUGUAC